GAGAGAGGAUGAGCGGCUGUCGGUAGGCUCAUGUUUUUGAGCUGGCUGAGGAAAGUCCCCCCACCACCUGGAUGCACGAACACCAGAAGGUGUAGGGCGAGAGUCCUGGCACUGGCACAGAAACGAUACGACAUCGGGUCAAUGCAAUGAUGCAGAAAUGCUGAGGUCGCCCGAAUGUUGAUGAAACGGCGAAUCCUCGUGGGUGCAAGCCAAUCUGGGUAGAUGAUGAGUCCAGCAGAUACCCAAGUAGUGCGCAUAGACAGAUGCCGCUUAAAACAGAAGGGGGCUUACUAUCCUCACUC
rnacentral:RNase_P_RNA from 2 species